UAUCUGCUGGGCUUUCUGGUGUU
rnacentral:miRNA from 1 species